CUGCUGCCUUCCGUAGGAGUUUGGUCCGUGUCUCAGUACCAAUGUGGGGGGCUGACCUCUCAGUCCCCCUAUGUAUCGUCGCCUUGGUGAGCCGUUACCUCACCAACUAGCUAAUACAACGCAUGUCCAUCUCUGACCACCUGAGUUUUCAACCACCGAAGAUGCCUCCGGUGAUGUUAUGGGGUAUUAGUACCAAUUUCUCGAUGUUAUCCCCCUGUCAAAGGUAGGUUACAUACGCGUUACGCACCCGUCCGCCGGUCGCCGG
rnacentral:rRNA from 1 species